UUCUCCUUUAAAUUAUCCAAUAGGAUAAAGAUAACGAAAACACGUGAAUGUAUUUCACAGCGACAGAGGUACCGCAUGAAGAAUAAAGAACGGGCAAGAGUCCGAUAUUGAGAAGCCCCGAAGAAACAUGACCUAAAUAAAA